CAUGGCUCAGGAUGAACGCUGGCGGCGUGCCUAAUACAUGCAAGUCGAGCGAAUGGAUUAAGAGCUUGCUCUUAUGAAGUUAGCGGCGGACGGGUGAGUAACACGUGGGUAACCUGCCCAUAAGACUGGGAUAACUCCGGGAAACCGGGGCUAAUACCGGAUAACAUUUUGAACCGCAUGGUUCGAAAUUGAAAGGCGGCUUCGGCUGUCACUUAUGGAUGGACCCGCGUCGCAUUAGCUAGUUGGUGAGGUAACGGCUCACCAAGGCAACGAUGCGUAGCCGACCUGAGAGGGUGAUCGGCCACACUGGGACUGAGACACGGCCCAGACUCCUACGGGAGGCAGCAGUAGGGAAUCUUCCGCAAUGGACGAAAGUCUGACGGAGCAACGCCGCGUGAGUGAUGAAGGCUUUCGGGUCGUAAAACUCUGUUGUUAGGGAAGAACAAGUGCUAG
rnacentral:rRNA from 1 species